UACAGAGGGUCUCAAGCGUUGUUCGGAUUCAUUGGGCGUAAAGGGCGCGUAGGUGGCGCUGUAAGUCGGGUGUGAAAUUUCGGAGCUUAACUCCGGAAACUGCAUUCGAUACUGCGGUGCUUGAGGACUGGAGAGGAGUACUGGAAUUCAUGGUGUAGCAGUGAAAUGCGUAGAGAUCAUGAGGAAGACCGUGGCGAAGGCGGGUCGUCCUGGACAGUUCCUGACACUGAGGCAACGGAAGGCCAGGGGAGCAAACGGGG
rnacentral:rRNA from 1 species